GUACUUGCUUCUUCUGUACGUAUACUGAAAUUGGAACGUUAGAGAGAAGAUUAGCGUGGCCUCUGGGCAAGGAUGACACGCAAAAUUGUAAGCGUCUCACACUUUUU